AUUCAAGGCAAAACUGUCGUUUACCAUUCCGCACUCUACCCAUGGAAUACCUGUGUGUGAGUUUCAACUUUACCCUUCUCCCUCUUUUUCAUUCUCAUGUAUGAAGCAUCUUCUUUUUUUCAUUCUUUUUUCCAUUUCCUUACAACCUUCUCUCUCUCUUUCAUUCUCUCGUCUGAAGCAUCUUCUGUUUUUCAAUUCUUCUUCCCAUUUCCUUCCAACCUUCUCCCUCUUUUUCAUGCUUCUAUCCUGACCAACCCUUUGACAAACCCUAUAAGUUUUGUCCAUCUUCUCCGUCAUUUAAAAUCUCGUUCCCCAUUGACACCUCUGCUUUUCGCAUCAUCAGCCAUGGUAAGCAAAACCCUUAGAUUAUUUAAAAUAAUAUUUUUUUUCUACAUUUUUAGAUUUUCUUUUAUAUAUACAAAACUAUUUGAGGAUACUUUAUACAUUCAUCUUGAUUCAUUUUAAUUUACUUGGGCAAUUUUUGUUUGGCUGUCAAGAAAACGAGUGUGAGAUCAGGGAGAAGGAUGGCAUUAAUUUUUUUUUUAUGUUUGUUUUUGCUUAUUAUGAUCAGUUUAAUUGAGCAAAACACUUGAUUUCGAGAUCAAUAGCUUAAACAUUGAAGAAAAUUCAAAUGGAAUGUAAACUAAUAAACUAUUAAUAGAUGCUUAGAGCAAUGCUUUUUUCUUUUCACAUCUAAGAUUAUGUGUAAAUCUUAGUGUUAUUUAGUAUGGUAACCUAGGCUAAAUUACAAUUUUAUCAUUUUUAUGAGAGCUAAAAUGCAAUAUUAUUAUUUUUAGAUUUUCCUUGAUAUAUACAUGAAACUAUUUGAAGAAGCUUUAGACUUUUAUUUCGAUGCAUUUGAAUUUACUUGGAAAAGUCCUGUUUGGUUGCCGAGAAAACGAGGAUGUAUCGGAGAGAAAAGUGUUUUUUUUAUGUCAUUUUGUAAGCUUAUUAUGAUCAGUUUAAUCGAACAAAACACUUGAUUUUGAGAUCAAUAGCUUAAACACUGAAGAAAAUUAAGAUUGUGUGUAAAUCUUAGUCUUAUUUUGUAUAGUAACAAGGGCAAAGCCAGGAAAAUUUUUUGGGUUGAGAUUAGAGUAUAUAUUUUUAUGAGAAUUAAAAUGCAAUUCUACCAUUAUAUUAUCUUAUAUCUUUAUAGUUUUUAGGACUAAAUCAGUAUUUUAUCUUAAUGCCUGAAUGUUUACUAUCCCACUUGUUCAAUUCUCGCAUGCAAAUCAUCUCCGUCAACCCCAUUCCCACCGAUCGACUGACCAUCUGUGACCACUUGACACCUGCCGUCUGACCGCUCCCACCAUCACCGCUCAUUUCUGUCUCAAAGCUCAAAAUAUGUCGAUGAUUGGGGAAAAUGAUGAUGACUUAAAGAAGAUAUCUUCUUCAACUGAUGCGUCUAAGGAACCUUAAAGGCUAAAAUGGUGAUGGAGACUCCAACAAGUGCAAAAAACAAAAGGAAAGGGGAGAAGGCCAUUGAAAUUACAACAGAUGGAGUUAAAAAGGAAAAACCUUCUACUGUUUGGGAUAAUUUUAAAAAAAUUGAUGGUGAUAAAAAUCAUGAUGAAUGUAUUUAUUUCAUCUAACAAUGGAACUAAUGUAAUGAGGUGUCACAGUAGUCGGUGUAAGAAAGCCCCUUUUAACCUAGAUAAAAAACAAUCUUAGAUUUUGAGUCUAAGACAAAGUGCAACGCUGAUGGGACCAUAGAAACUGUUAGUGUUCUUAGAUUAUGGCGUUUUGAUCAAGAUGAGAUUAGACAAGCACUUGCUAAAAUGGUGAUUAUUGAUGAGUUGACAUUUAGGACUAGUUCUUCGUUGCUUUUGAAAAGUGCUGUGAAAAAGUGCUUUUGAAAAAUGUUGUGGAAAAGUACUUUCUCAAGUACUUUUGAGAAAUGCUUUGAAAAAAUUUAAGUGUUUGAUAUUGAUGUCAAAAA